rnacentral:rRNA from 1 species
GAUGAACGCUGGCGGCGUGCCUAAUACAUGCAAGUCGAGCGAACAGAUGAGGAGCUUGCUCCUCUGACGUUAGCGGCGGACGGGUGAGUAACACGUGUAUAACCUACCUAUAAGACUGGGAUAACUUCGGGAAACCGGAGCUAAUACCGGAUAAUAUAUUGAACCGCAUGGUUCAAUAGUGAAAGACGGUUUUGCUGUCACUUAUAGAUGGAUCCGCGCCGCAUUAGCUAGUUGGUAAGGUAACGGCUUACCAAGGCAACGAUGCGUAGCCGACCUGAGAGGGUGAUCAGCCACACUGGAACUGAGACACGGUCCAGACUCCUACGGGAGGCAGCAGUAGGGAAUCUUCCACAAUGGGCGAAAGCCUGACGGAGCAACGCCGCGUGAGUGAUGAAGGUCUUCGGGUCGUAAACCUCUGUUAUUAGGAAAGAACAAAUGUGUACGUAACUAUGCACGUCUUGACGGUACCUAAUCAGAAAGCAACGGCUAACUACGUG